CCACCACGGUUAGCUCUUCCCGUUAAAUCAUCGUCCGGCGGUAAAACAGGGCCUACAGCCCACACACGAUCAUUUUGGAACUCCCUUUUCAUGUGAUCCAGGUAAACACGUUCUAACUCAGCGAACGAGUUGAAUAUGAUUCCCCAACUCGCCAAAUUAGCCAAAUUACAGUUUCUAUAAAAUUCCCAAUCGGAGUCCUUGGGCAUCCUGUAAAUGUGAGAGAUCUGCCACCAGGGGAAAGUCGGGGAAUUCGGAAUCUUAGGAAAUGACACUGAAAGAUUCAGGUUUUCCGGAUGAUCGUUUUGUGGCUGGUCACGCCAAACAAAAGUGGCAACGGAGAAAGCAAGGGCCCCCGACGGCGAGAAAACGAUGCGUGGC
rnacentral:misc_RNA from 1 species